UGUUGGGUCGCCCGAACGAGUUUCACCCCUUAUCCACUCGCAGCUCCAUUCCCCUCCCACUCGACACCACUCCCCCACUCUCCCUUUUCAUCGCCGGAUUAGAAGACGGCCGGCCAAAUCAUGGCGUCGCGCGGCGGAGGCGGGCCGGAGCGGCUGGGGCGGGAGCUGGGCCUCGAGGACACCUGCGUCCACGCGCACGAGAUGAGGCCAGCGAGCGGGGCGGGCGCUAGGUCAACGCCCACCCGUGCUGGAGGUUGGGGACGCCGGCGGGCAGGCGAGGCAGGGGAGGCCGGACCCUUCGGCGGCGAGCACGGGACGACGACGAACGUGGGAGAUCCGGGGAAGAGGGCGGCUUCUCCCGCCGACCUCAUCUGAUGCGCGGCCGCCCGGAGGCGAUGACGGCAUCCUGCGGCGCGGCGCCCUCCACGGCGACGGCUUCUUCCGCCGAUCUCGUCCGAUGCGCAGCCGCCCGGAGGCGAGGACGCCAUCGUGCGCCGCGAAGCCCUCCACGGCGACGGCUUCUCCCGCCGACCUCGUCCGAUGCGAGGCCGCCCGGAGGCUCCGCCAUCCUGCGCCAGGGCGUCGGCUUCUCCUAGCACAGCGACCAUACGCUGCCCAUGGGCAACGGGCACAUCCUCAUCAUCUUCUCCGGCCGCUUGGAUGCCGUCAGUUGAAGAUAGUCUUCCUGAACAGGUGAUGAGAUGCUAAUGGACUAGAUUUCCUUGGCAAUUCUAGGAAACUAUAGUUCAUGGACACCCCCAAAAUGUAUAGUUCAUGACAAUCAAAUUAUGUCUUUUGCCAUCGAA